AACCUGGCUUUUGCUUGGUGCACUUUCUAGUUGAUGGGCCAACAUCAGUUUUGACCGCUGGAAAAGAGCCUUUGGAAUGUGGCACCCUCGGGUGUGUUAUAGCCUUUGGUUGUAUACAGUGGUUGGGACUGAGGACCGCAGCACGCCUUUUUGGCCGGGGUUCGCCCACGUACGUGCUUAGGAUGUUGGCGUAAUGGCUUUAAGCGACCCGUCUUGAAACACGGACCAAGGAGUCUAACAUGCCUGCGAGUGGUUGGGUGGCAAACCCGAGCGCGCAAUGAAAGUGAAAGUUGGGACCCUGUCGGGGGAGCCCGACGCCCAUACCAGACCUACUGUGACGGCUAUGCGGUGAGCAUGUUGUUGGGACCCGAAAGAUGGUGAACUAUGCCUGAAUUAGGGUGAAGCCAGAGGAACUCUGGUGAAGCUCGUAUCGAUUCUGA
rnacentral:rRNA from 1 species